AUUGAACGCUGGCGGCAGGCCUAACACAUGCAAGUCGAACGAGUGGCGGACGGGUGAGUAAUGUCUGGGAAACUGCCCGAUGGAGGGGGAUAACUACUGGAGACGGUAGCUAAUACCGCAUACCAUCGGAUGUGCCCAGAUGGGAUUAGCUUGUAGGUGAGGUAACGGCUCACCUAGGCGACGAUCCCUAGCUGGUCUGAGAGGAUGACCAGCCACACGGGAAAGGAGCAACGGUCCAGACUCCGACGGGAGGCAGAAGUGGGGAAUAUUGCACAAUGGGCUCAAGCCUGAUGCAGCCAUGCCGCGUGUAUGAAUAAGGCCUUCGGGUUGUAAAAUACUGUCAGCGGGGAGGCGGUACCCGCAGAAGAAGCACCGGCUAACUCCGUGCCAGCAGCCGCGGUAAUAC
rnacentral:rRNA from 1 species